CCUACGGGAGGCAGCAGUCGGGAAUAUUGCACAAUGGAGGAAACUCUGAUGCAGUGACGCCGCGUGCAGGAAGAAGGUUUUCGGAUUGUAAACUGCUUUAGAUAGGGAAGAUAAAAGACUGUACCUAUAGAAUAAGCUCCGGCUAACUACGUGCCAGCAGCCGCGGUAAUACGUAGGAUGCGAGCGUUAUCCGGAUUUAUUGGGUUUAAAGGGUGCGCAGGCGGUCUGUUAAGUCAGCGGUCAAAGCCCGGGGCUCAACCCCGGCCCGCCGUUGAAACUGGCAGUCUCGAGUUGGAGAGAAGUAU
rnacentral:rRNA from 1 species